GACGAACGCUGGCGGCGUGCUUAACACAUGCAAGUCGAACGGUGAAGGGGUCUGCUUUUGUGGGCCCUGGAUGAGUGGCGAACGGGUGAGUAACACGUGAGUAACCUGCCCCCUUCUUCUGGAUAACCGCAUGAAAGUGUGGCUAAUACGGGAUAUUCUGGGUCUGUCGCAUGAUGGGUCUGGGAAAGAUUGCGCCUUUGGGUGUUUUUGGUGGGGGAUGGGCUCGCGGCCUAUCAGCUUGGUGGUGGGGUGAUGGCCUACCAAGGCGGUGACGGGUAGCCGGCCUGAGAGGGUGGACGGUCACACUGGGACUGAGACACGGCCCAGACUCCUACGGGAGGCAGCAGUGGGGAAUAUUGCACAAUGGGCGCAAGCCUGAUGCAGCGACGCCGCGUGAGGGAUGGAGGCCUUCGGGUUGUAAACCUCUUUCGCCAGUGAAGCAGGCCUGCUCCUUGUGGGUGGGUUGACGGUAGCUGGAUAAGAAGCGCCGGCUAACUACGU
rnacentral:rRNA from 1 species